GAUCUUUAUUUUUAUAUAAUUAUAAAAAAAAAGAAAAUUUAAAUUUUAUAUUUAUAAAAAAAUUUUAUUGGGGUGGUAUUAAAAUUUAAUAAACUUUUAAAAUUUUUGACAUUAAUUUAUGAAUAAUUGAUCCAAUUUUAUUGAUUAAAAAUUUAAGUUACCUUAGGGAUAACAGCGUAAUUUUUUUUAAGAGUUCUUAUCGACAAAAAAGAUUGC
rnacentral:rRNA from 1 species